GCCUGGGUGGCUCAGUUGGUUGAGCAUCUGACUUCGACUCAGGUCAUGAUCUCGCACUUCGUGGGUUCGGGCCCCGCGUCAGGUU
rnacentral:tRNA from 1 species